CGAGCGGCGCGGGCGGGCGGGGUUUGAUUGUGAGCUGCCGCUCCGGCUGCCGGGGAGGCUCCCCCGGCGCUGCCCGUGCCCUGCUCGCCCUGCGGGCGGGGCGGGAGCGGCGCGAUGUCCAUCGCCGCCACCCGCGGGGCGGGAAGGGGUUGAUCGCCAGCCGGCUUCAGUGUGUCCCAUUACUCCAUGUCCUGUCACUAGAUCCCGCCGCAGGUUGGCCCAGCCCGGGCCCGCGGGACGCUCGGCUCCGGCGGCCGGGGCUGAAGCCCCGCGGGGUGCGCGGCUCUCCCUCCUUCUGCGCACUUCCCUGGGUGCUGCUCUGCCACAGGUCAUCUGAUUUUCCUGCGCUGGUGUCUGCUGGUGUACGACUCCAAAUGAACGUGGGUGUAUUUUAAGUCAGAGCAUUUCUGGAUUCUACGUUUUCCUUUCCUGGACUGGAAUAAUCCCUGUCCUUUGCACCAGAUGAUUUUGCCAUAUCUGUGUAGGUGAAAAUAAACAGGCAGCACUCAGUAGAGUGACAGUGUGCAGUCAAUAAAUUAAACAACUUGCAGAAACA